rnacentral:rRNA from 1 species
UACAGAGGUCUCGAGCGUUAGGCGGAAUCACUGGGCUUAAAGCGUGUGUAGGCGGAUUGCUAAGUACCUUGUGAAAUCCCACGGCUUAACCGUGGAACUGCUUGGUAUACUGGCUGUCUUGAGCCACUUAGGGGCAACCGGAACAAACGGUGGAGCGGUGAAAUGCGUAGAUAAUCGGUUUGGAACGCCAAUGGUGAAAACAGGUUGCUGGGAGUGUGCUGACGCUGAGACACGAAAGCCAGGGGAGCAAACGGG